GCGCUUUGUGCAGGCGAGGCGCCUCCACUAUGGCCCCGCUUGACCCCGUGCGCAGGCGCGGCAUCCCACCCGCCGCGGUUCCUGCCCCCCAAAGCUCGACCCCGGUGUGGUGCGCAGGCGUAGUCUGCGCGGGGACUGGCGGGACUGCGCGGAGGCGACUACAGGCAUGGCGGUCUGGGUCCUGUCGCGCCUGCUGAGCGCUCCGCGCCUGGCGCUGGCCAAGGCGGUCCUGAGGCACGUGAAUGGCCAGGAUCAGAUUGUGCCCGGCCUGUACGCCUGUGGGGAGGCCGCCUGUGCCUCGGUACAUGGUGCCAAUCGGCUCGGGGCAAACUCGCUCUUGGACUUGGUUGUCUUUGGUCAGGCAUGUGCCCUGAGCAUCGAAGAGUCAUGCAGGCCUGGAGAUAAAGUCCCUCCAAUUAAACCAAACGCUGGGGAAGAAUCUGUCAUGAAUCUUGACAAAUUGAGAUUUGCUGAUGGAAGCAUAAGAACAUGAGAACUGCGACUCAGCAUGCAGAAGGUAAGAGCCUGGACUCGCUCUGGAGUGAGCAGGCGGGCUGCAUACCUGGCCCUGCACUGGUUUUGUUUUUUUAAAACUAGAUCUAGGGGGAUGCAGGUGCAGUUUUGUGUGGAUGUACUGGGAGGUGGUGGAGUCUGGGCUUUUCAUGUACCUGUCACCCAAGUCGUGUGUGUUGUACCCAGUAGGUAAUUGUUCAACCCCACCCCUCCCGCUUUUUGG
rnacentral:lncRNA from 1 species